rnacentral:rRNA from 1 species
AGCAGCCGCGGUAAUUCCAGCUCCAAUAGCGUAUAUUAAAGUUGUUGCAGUUAAAAAGCUCGUAGUUGAAUUUCAGGCCUGGCUGGACGGUCCGCCCUUCGGGUGAGUACUGUCUGUGGUCGGGUCCUACCUUCUGGCGAAGCGUCAUGGCCUUAACCGGCUGUGGCGGGGAACCAGGACUUUUACUGUGAAAAAUUAGAGUGUUCAAAGCAGGCAAUCGCUUGGAUACAUUAGCAUGGAAUAAUGGAAUAGGACAAUGGUUCUAUUUGUUGGUUUCUAGGACCGUUGUAAUGAUUAAUAGGGAUAGUUGGGGGCAUUAGUAUUCAAUUGUCAGAGGUGAAAUUCUUGGAUUUAUUGAAGACUAACUACUGCGAAAGCAUUUGCCAAGGAUGUUUUCAUUAAUCAAGAACGAAAGUUAGGGGAUCGAAGACGAUCAGAUACCGUCGUAGUCUUAACCAUAAACUAUGCCGACUAGGGAUCGGAUGAUGUUAAUUUUUAAUGACUCAUUCGGCGCCU